UUUAACCCUAAUUCCCCUUCCCCUUCCCCUUCCCCCAUCUCCUCCCAUACCAACCAUCAGCCGCCGCCACCUAUCCUCGCGUCGCUCUAUGUCGGCACCGGCGGCGCCGACACUAAACCACCCCCCGCCAGGUCUCUCCUCAUCUAUCCCGCUCCAGACCCCUCCCUGUCUACCCCAUGCCAUGCCCCUCCCCAUUCAGAUCGCGGCCUCGAGAUACGGCGGCCCAGUGCUACACUUCGAGCUGAGACGGCAGCGGUGGCGGCAGGACGGCAUGCCGGAUCAAGUCCCCGUGGUCAUCAGCGGCGGGCACGGAUCCAGCUCCAUCCAGCUGCGGGUAUGGAUCCAGGUCCAUCCGGCGGCGGGCACAGAUCCAGAUCCAUCCGGCUGAGAGCCAAUGUGAGUGAGGAAUCUCCAACCCCCACACUCUUCUCCUCAGCUAUUUUGUUCUUCGGGAUUGAGUUCUUACACUCCUUAUUUGGGUCGGGGGAUCUGCAGUUUAUUCUCAUGGGGAUGGUCAGCUCUGCAGGUUUGUUUCAUCAUCUCAGAUUGUUGUUGCGUGUACACAUGCAUCUUUUUAUUUUCCUGUUAGCUUCGAUUGCCUUGGAUGGAACCAUCUCAAUAUGCAUGAAUAUUGUUUGGUAUAUACACUUCUUCUGUUCUUUUGCCUUUACGAGUAAUACGGAAUGUUGCUGUGAAAUGUUAUGCUUGUUAAUUACCUGAAUAUUUUAUGUAAAAUGUGAUUGACCAUGCCGGUGUCAGAGUUCAAUUGUCUUGGUGUGCAUAGUGGUCCGUGAACCAUAGUUGGCUGUAAUAUUUGUUGACAUGGCAAGGUUGUAUACUGGACCAUAACACCCUAUUUUACUUGUCCUUAUUUGUUUGAUGAAACGACUGUAUUUUGGUAUCUGCUCCUGCCUCCAGUGUAUUAACUAUGGUAUUGUAUAUUUCUCAAAAAACUAUGGUUCUGUAUGUACUUCAGAUCCAUACUUCCACUUUAGAUAUCAAAUAAAAUUCGUCAGGUGUUGCAGAUUUUAAUGUUAUAUAUACAUAUUUAUUAUCGUCCUAAUGGCUUUUUUGUUGUCUACUUGAUAGAUUAUAUAAUAGCAUGCAUUUGAAACAAAUCUGCACGUUAUGGAAGUUUGUACAUUAGAACUGGGAAGAAAGGUCAAGCCAAUUUCAUCACUAGCAUGAGACUUGGCAAUAUUGCAAGGUGGAGCGGACGGCACCGGCCGCAUUGAUUUCAUUAGAUGCAGAGGUGAUGGAUUUUAUACUAUUGUUUUUCUGGAAAUGCGUGUGCAUAGUUCCAAUCUCAAGGACCGAUGGAAAUGAAGAUUACACAUUUUUCUUUAAGACUACUAAAAGAUGGUUUGGCAGUUUGGAGAUUGAAGUGCUUUGAAUAGCCGUCGGGAAGCGGUGGUGUAGUGUUGGAUAUUAAAAAUCAGCUAAUAGUGCAUCUUUUUCUUGGAAGUUAUGUUACUUGAAAUAUAAAAAAAAUGCUUAUAUCGCUUUCUAGAUAUGCUUCUGAUGUUUUGAUAUUAAGAUUUGUUUUUUGGAAUCAGACUAGAUUGUUGGAACUCUGUAUUGUCAUGUGAACAAUUGCUAUUUUUUGAAUGGAUAUAAUUUGAUUGUCUUGUUGUAA